rnacentral:lncRNA from 1 species
CUGUUCUGCCUGGAAGGCCCUCAUUCCUCAGCUGCAUGACCCGAGGUUUCCUUCCUCUAAGACCUUGCUAGCGGCUCCUAGAUGCCUUCCAAACCAAAUUCUCUUCUAUGAGAUCAGCUCUUAGCUUUGUAUUCCCUGGCACUUAUGGAGUAUGUUAUGGAGGUAAGAGAAGAAAAUAAGUGCAACAUGCCAGAAAUCCAGUAAAGCAGUUCAAGUAUCAGAAGAGCGUGAAUCAAAACCAAGUGCAAGAAGAGGCACCUUGACAUUGAACUGAAGGCCACCAGGUACUCACUGGGUCAAUGACUCUUCUCAUUUUUAUUCUCCUGCCAGUGCUUCCAAUCGCUGAACUGAACUGGGAACAAAUCAACAAGGGAAACCAAGAGAUGCAUUCCUUGAAGUUCAGCCUCCAGGCCUCAAGUAAGGCAGAGGAAGAGAAUACAUAGAUCUGUGGAGAAGAGUGGUGAUGGUGGGAGCUGCCAAUAAAGAACUAUCAAAAAAGACGAAGUCUUUGUCGUCCAGGCUAGAGUGCAGCUGUGUGAUCUCAGCUCAUUGUAACCUCCACCUCCUGAUACAAGCAAUUCUUCUGCCUCAGCCUCCUGAGUAGGUGGGACUACAG